rnacentral:rRNA from 1 species
CAGAGGAGCCAAGCGUUGUCCGGAUUGACUGGGCGUAAAGCGCACGCAGGCGGAUGCGCGCGUGGGGUGUGAAAUCUGGCCGCUUAACGGCCAGGCGCCAUCCCAUACGGCGCGUCUGGAGCCUUGCAGAGGUCGGUGGAAUUGCCGGUGUAGUGGUGAAAUGCGUAGAGAUCGGCAGGAACACCCAGGGGGAAACCAGCCGACUGGGCAAGUGCUGACGCUGAGGUGCGAGAGCGUGGGGAGCGAACCGGAUUAGAUACCCGGGUAGUCCACGCCGUAAACGAUGGCCACUCGGCCUUUGGGGGCGGAAUCUCCGUCCGUGGGGGCCUUAGCAAACGCGGGAAGUGGCCCGCCUGGGAACUACGGAGCGCAAGCUUA